AGAAUUUGGCAUGGUGGGAGUGCUGCACAGCGUGAGGUAAUACAGUAGGGGGAGUGCUGCUCAGCGUGUGGUAAUACAGUAGGGGGAGUGCUGCUCAGCGUGAGGUAAUACAGUAGGGGGAGUGCUGCUCAGCGUGAGGUAAUACAGUAAGGGGAGUGCUGCUCAGCGUGAGGUAAUACAGUAGGGGGAGUGCUGCUCAGCGUGAGGUAAUACAGUAGGGGAGUGCUGCUCAGCGUGAGGUAAUACAGUAGGGGAGUGCUGCUCAGCGUGAGGUAAUACAGUAGGGGGAUGCUGCUCAGUGUGAGGUAAUACAGUAGAGGGAGUGCUGCUCAGCGUGAGGUAAUACAGUAGGGGGAGUGCUGCUCAGCGUGAGGUAAUACAGUAGGGGGAGUGCUGCUCAGCGUGAGGUAAUACAGUAGGGGGAGUGCUGCUCAGCGUGAGGUAAUACAAGAACGUACUCGGAGAAUGAGAGUCAGUCUGUGUGUCAGUCUGUGUGUCAGUCUAUGUGUCAGUCUGUGUGUCAGUCUGUGUGUCAGUCUGUGUGUCAGUCUGUGUGUCAGUCUGUGUGUCUGUCUGUGUGUCAGUCUGUGUGUCAGUCUGUGUGUCAGUGCAUGAUACUGUGUUCAACACUGCAUGUCAGAGCUCAGUAAACCACGGUUCAGCUGGGUCCAUGAUGCGGUCUCUGACACACACACACACACACACACACACACACACACACACA
ensembl:lncRNA